rnacentral:rRNA from 1 species
GACAGAGGGUGCAAACGUUGUUCGGAAUUACUGGGCGUAAAGCGAGUGUAGGCGGUCUUGUAAGUCGGAUGUGAAAGCCCCGGGCUCAACCCGGGAAGUGCACUCGAUACUGCGAGGCUAGAGUACUGGAGAGGUUGGUGGAAUUCUCGGUGUAGAGGUGAAAUUCGUAGAUAUCGAGAGGAACACCGGUGGCGAAGGCGACACACUGGCUCACUACUGACGCUGAGGCGCGAAAGCGUGGGGAGCAAACAGG